CCACCACUAAGCCAGUGGUGAACUCCACAUACGCAUCCUUUGCUGAGGAUACGGUUAACGGAGCGAAAGCGACGUUCAACCUCAAAAGAAGCAGAGGGGGCUUAGUGGUGGGGUGACUGCGUACCUUUUGUAUAAUGGGUCAGCGACUUAUAUUCUGUAGCAAGGUUAACCGAAUAGGGGAGCCGGAGGGAAACCGAGUCUUAAUUGGGCGUUAAGUUGCAGGGUAUAGACCCGAAACCCGGUGAUCUAGCCAUGGGCAGGUUGAAGGUUGGGUAACACUAACUGGAGGACCGAACCGACUAAUGUUGAAAAAUUAGCGGAUGACCUGUGGCUGGGGGUGAAAGGCCAAUCAAACCGGGAGAUAGCUGGUUCUCCCCGAAAGCUAUUUAGGUAGCGCCUCGUGAAUUCAUCUCCGGGGGUAGAGCACUGUUUCGGCUAGGGGGCCAUCCCGGCUUACCAACCCGAUGCAAACUGCGAAUACCGGAGAAUGUUAUCACGGGAGACACACGGCGGGUGCUAACGUCCGUCGUGAAGAGGGAAACAACCCAGACCGCCAGCUAAGGUCCCAAAGUCAUGGUUAAGUGGGAAACGAUGUGGGAAGGCCCAGACAGCCAGGAUGUUGGCUUAGAAGCAGCCAUCAUUUAAAGAAAGCGUAAUAGCUCACUGGUCGAGUCGGCCUGCGCGGAAGAUGUAACGGGGCUAAACCAU
rnacentral:rRNA from 2 species